CCAGAAACCAUGCUGCAGACAUGAACCCAGAAGGAACCCCGUACGCAUGGCAGCACAGACGCCACUGGUCAAGUCUGAAGAGAGAGAUGGAAACCAUAUGAUUCUCACAUACAGCCAACAGAUAA